AAUUCCUGAAAACUUUGUUGAUGAGAUUAUGAAGAAUGUAUUUAAUAAGAGGUAAUGUAUACAGCUAUUUCAACCAAGGUUGUCCACGAGCAAAGCGGAAAAGUCGAAUACGAGCGCGAAAGGCUAAUGGGAAUCGCUAACAAAAGCCCCGUUUACACGUACGACAGUCAUUUUGGGUACGGCACGCUUAAAUUUUGGCACGCGGACCCACGCUUUUUGGUCCGCCUGUUGCGUUUACACGACGAAAUUUUUGCUCUAAAAAAUUUGGGUUCGGCCCGCUUAAACUGGGAACGGCACUCUUACAUAUCUGAUCUAUUCAGCUGUAACUUUUUGGUGUAGCGAAAAGUGUAUCAAACUUUAUUCCGAGCAUUACAUUUACAUUUUAUUUUUACCAAUUUUCUCAACUUUUUUCCCAAGUAAAAUAAGCAGAAACUAUAUUUUUAUUGAGAUAGUUUAAGUUUCCGAAAAUUUGUAUUGAAGUAUUUCCAUUUCUCUGCUCAGACCAGAUAAUUAUUAACAUUUUCGUAAAAAAUACAAAGUUUAUGUAUUUCCAUUUGCAAUUUUAUAAACUCAUAUAAACCUAGCAAAAUACUUGUUGGUUCUUGGAAAGCCAUUAUAUGAAAGUGUUUUAAUUUUCUAAGCUAGAUAUUUCAUUGACCUUCAUGGGGAUAAACAACUUUGUAAUAAAGCAAAAAAGUCAUAUUAUAACACCGCGUCUUUCUAACUAAAACAUGCAACACUAAAACAUGCAACACUAAAACAUGCAACAUUAAAACAUGCAACACUAAAACAUGCAACACUAAAACAUGCAGUAAUCUCGCAUAAACUGGCUGACAAGCAGUGAAACAAUUUAAUUUCAGAAUACUUAAACUGAUACUUAGAUAUUCUGUUUUAUUUCGUUGAAAACUUAUACUACAACAAUGAUUCGCUGCAGGCUCACUGCCUGAUUAUGGUGAAUGUUGACCGAUAGCACUUCGCCCUCGGCGAAUAUUGAUUGUUAAUUACGAAAUAACAAUAAUAUAAUCUUCACCAUUACAUAUAUCAGCAUUGCUUAAAACUGCUUAAAUGGUUCCUUUUCUCUUCGCUUUGCUGUGGGCUUUGACUUGAGUAUAGCAAGAAUACCAGUUGAAUAGCUUCUAAUUUAUAUGCAUGACCAUGCAUAAUAUAUAUCGGAGCUCAAAUACAAAUAUGGCUUCGUCUGACCACAUUUUUCCCUCGAUAUAUUUUGUUUGUACAGACACAAUAUUUUUGCAAUGUGAGAAACAAAACGCGUGUGUAACAAGUUUUUGGUCCGCGGACCCAUUUUUAGGCGGGCCGAGACUACCUCCUGAGGAGGACUCGGCCCGCUUAAAAUUUUGGGCCCGCGGACCCUUAAUUUUGCGUUUACACGACAAAAAUUAGGAGUGCCGUGCCCCCAAAAAAUGGGUCCGCGUGCCAAAAUUUCAGCGUGCCGUGCCCAAAAUGACUGUCGUGUAAACGGGGCUCAAUUAAUGAAUUUUCAAAGCGGUUCUCAGCAGCCUUUCGCGCUCGUAUCGUUUUCGCUUUGCUCGUGGACAAUGUGUUGUAUUUUAGAAUUUGGGACUAAAUGUUCGUUUUGGUGUAGUUAUACAAUAACCGCAAAUGAAGUAUCAUGCAUGCAGAUUUUUGUUGUAUAUUAUUUUCCUUUUAUCUAUAUAAUAUUUAUAGUAUUUUUUAUUAUAGCUAUAUUCUCUUAAUGCAAUUUCGGGUUAUUUUUCCAAUUUUAUAGUUUGACCAGCAUGGAAACUUGUGCUUUCAGUAACAAGAUAAGAUUGCCAGGACUACAGUCGUUAAAAUGGAGAGUAGAUGUGACCAUAUCAACCAGGUGAACCAUGAUAAAUUAUUUACCGGAUUUGCAUUUUGUAAGCGGAUUUAGAAGCAAAUUUUCUCGAGCAAUUUGCUCGUGCCUGUAGAGUAAUUUCAGCUUAAAUUAAAUAUAGUCCAUAGUGACUUUAAUUGUUUCGAUGAUGCGAUGUUUCCCGAAGUAAACCUUAUACGAAAUUCGAUUUUGAAUAUUAAAAGUAAAAUAGCAAAACUUUUACAGUACAGUUGUUUUUCUCACUCUCAACCCGCAUGCUUGUAAUCCCCAAUCUCCCUUUGUGUCCGUUCUUCCACGCGUAUAGUUCGCGUGUUUCGCAUGUACUAUUGUACCCGAGUUAAUAUUUAUCAGUUAUAGACCUGAAACGAGGGGUAUUCCACAAAAAAUUACCCUGAGGGAUGAAAUAUCAUCCCGCAGGGUAAUUUUUUGUGGAAUACCCCGAGUGAAAGGUCUAUAAAUGGUAUAUUAUACCGAACCUUUCAAAAAUAAGUAGAAAACAAAUACCAUUCAAUUAACUUUUAAUUUCAAAACACAACUUUUGAUAACUUUACAUUUAAAAAAGUCGAAUUUCCCGCUCAAGCGUGGUAUUCGAAGUCGAAUACCAUGGCCCCGGGUAAAACACCCAGGGUUCAAAUUGCCUAGGUCAUAGUAUUCGCUGAAAAAUACCAAGGUCAUGUGGUACAAAUUUAGUUCUCUGAUUGGACAAGCUCAUUGUGAGGUAUAAUAUAUCUCUAUAUAAUAUUUUUUGUUCUCUCUCGUGGGUAUUAAAUAGCUCACUUAACCGGGUACUGGUGCCAACCGUCUUUAUGGAAGUGAAAUCAAGUGAUGGCAGUACAAAAUCUUUUGAGGU